CAGUUCAACAGACAUAAGUUUUCUUAGUAAGAAUGAUACAGGAUGGCCAAACAUCGUGAUACAGUCCAGAAAUAUCGUUGAGAAGCAGACAAGACUUACCAUUUCUCAGGUAUAAUAGUUCAAUUGUGCAACUCGUCGUUGAAAGGAUACAACUGCAACUUAUCGGUUCUCAAAUAGAGAGUAAGAUGUCUCAAAGAUUGUGGAACCGAUUCAUUUGGAAAGCCAUUGAAUGUCCCUGUAAACCUUUUUAUAGUAACAAGCUUAAGUCUUCAAACUAUUCUAGUUACUUUGACUAUGAAGAGGCCUUCAUAAUCACGACUAAAAGACAUGGCCUGUUUCAGAACUUCCCCAACAUAUUCGUUGAGAAUCUGGAGAAAGAUGCAACCUUUG
rnacentral:lncRNA from 1 species